CAGCGGCCCUAGUGGUGAUCGUUAUUAUUGGGCCUAAAGCGUCCGUAGCCGGUUCGGUAAAUCUCUGGGUAAAUCGUUGGGCUUAACUCAACGAAUUCUGGGGAGACUGCCGAACUUGGGACCGGGAGAGGUCGGAGGUACUCCAGGGGUAGGGGUGAAAUCCUGUAAUCCUUGGGGGACCACCGGUGGCGAAAGCGUCCGACCAGAACGGGUCCGACGGUAAGGGACGAAGCCCUGGGGCACAAACCGGAUUAGAUACCCGAGUAGUCC
rnacentral:rRNA from 1 species